CGGCCGAGAGAGCGGAGCACUAGGAGGCGGGGGCGGCAGAGAAGUGAUGCUGGCGCCGGGGAUCGGGGCAGCGGCAGCGGAGCAGCAGCAUCUUCGGGACCCUGGCUGCAGCGUCCCUGUGGCCCGCGCGCCAGCCCAGCGGCCGGAGACCACGCGCCCCGCGGACCCAUUAGAAACGCUUCAAGAGCUGCUCAAUCCAGGAGUGGAGGGAUUUUGUGAAGACACGGAUGCUCCCUAAAAGGAGUGCAGCAAUUUUCAUCAUAGGGAGAAUGAAGACAGUGUGUGACAACCUGAAAAAGACAAGUCUUUGGUUAUCAGAAAAACUACCUUUAAAGCUAAUUUUGAAAACAGAUCAUUUAGAUAAAAUAACAUGGAGAAAAUGAAAAGAAAAAUCAAGUUUACAACAGAUUCAGAGAACCUUGAAGUUGAUUAUGAUUUUA
rnacentral:lncRNA from 1 species